rnacentral:rRNA from 1 species
CAGCCGCCGCGGUAAUACGUAGGGGGCAAGCGUUGUCCGGAUUUAUUGGGCGUAAAGAGCUCGUAGGCGGCUUGGUAAGUCGAUCGUGAAAACCAGAGGCUCAACCUCUGGACGUCGGUCGAUACUGCCAUGGCUAGAGUCCGGUAGAGGAGAGUGGAAUUCCCGGUGUAGCGGUGGAAUGCGCAGAUAUCGGGAGGAACACCAGUAGCGAAGGCGGCUCUCUGGGCCGGAACUGACGCUGAGGAGCGAAAGCGUGGGUAGCAAACAGGAUUAGAUACCCUGGUAGUCCACGCCGUAAACGUUGGGUACUAGGUGUGGCGUCUUAUCAACGGAUGCCGUGCCGAAGCUAACGCAUUAAGUACCCCGCCUGGGGAGUACGGCCGCAAGGCUAAAACUCAAAGGAAUUGACGGGUCCCCGCACAAGCGGCGGAGCAUGCGGCUUAAUUCGAUGCAACCCGAAGAACCUUACCUGGUCUUGACAUCAUGGGUCUAUCCCCCGAAACGGGGAGUGCUUUGCGCCCAUGACAGGUGGUGCAUGGCC